GAAUUUAUUAGUGAUAUUGGGCUGGCUUGUACACACUAUUGUGUUUUCCUCUCUUUGAGAAAGGUUUGGUUAUGUAUGCUGGAGUACAAGAGGGGGAACAAAGCUGGAAGUGGUGAGAAAGGCUUUGUGCAGACAUGCUGUAUUUUGCAAGAAAAUGUACCUGAUUCCUGCUGCUGUGGGUUACCCUGGUUUGACCUCCGAUUUUUCGACCUUGUAUGGAAUCAACCUGUCUGCUGCCAGCCCCGACCUUUUUGCCAAUUACUGGACUUUCCCUUGUCUAUCGUUAGCCUCACCACAGGCCUGUAUUGGAACUUGUUGUCAUUCAUUAAACAUCUGUUUCUGCUCACUAUCCAGCCAGUAAUGGGUUAAUCUUGGGUUACUCAACACAACGACUUCUACCUGCCAGUCACUCACCAGUCGGCAAACCUGACAGUGGUGCAACAAAUAGACAGAGGGACGGAGGAAGACCCAGCAGUCUUAGUCUUAAAUGCUAGGAAAAAAGCUAAGAACAAGAAGGGAAUAAUCUCAGCAAUAUUUCCUGUGCCAUGAGCAAUGUUAAGAAGGCAGAGAGUGCUUAGGGAGGUUAAUGUAUGGCUAAGAGAUUGGUGUAGGGUGGAGGGUUUUGGGUUUCUGGAGAACUGGGCUGAUUUUUCAAGAAGCUGCUAUACUUAGUUUCAGAGGGGCAGGGACAAUAUAAAAGAAGGAGGGGCAUAUAAGCCAAUAUAAGGGAAGAAAUAAUGGUGGAAAAUAAUGGAGCUUAAGCUUUAUGGGUGGAGCUUUUUGCAGAUUGUAAACAGUCCAGCAUAUUAAUUGUAGAGGUAUGGUAAUGUAAAGAGGAAGUGGCUUAGCUCCAAUUGCAAAAAGAAGGGAGAAUGAGACCCAGCUAGGGCCGAGAUGAUUUUAGGCAGUGCCACCCCCUCAAACAGGAAUGUUUCCUAGUACCUCGCUGCCCCAGCCCGCCAUGCCAUAACAAUGGUGGGCUACCUAGUGGUGGGAAAAAGAGGGGUGAACUAGCGGCGGAACCAGGGGGCAGGUUUCAGGUAAAUGUGUACUUAAGGAGUGGAAAAGUAAAGUUCAGUCAGACUCACUUUUGUUUAUUGUUUCUGCAGGACAGGCCCAAAAGAUUCUGGGAGGAGUGGGAGAGUUCUGUGCAGAUCACCAUCCCCAGGCAGCUCAAGAUUAAGACAUAAGCACAAAAAUGCCUAACUGCAUAGUACACGGUUGUCAUCACCGUACUGGACAAAAGGAUAAAUUCUCAAAUGUCACACUCCAUAAAUUUCCAAACAACAUUACUGCAAUAACCAAUUGGUUAAAACAAACUGCACAGUAUGGAGACAAUUUGGAGUCUGAGGCAGAAAAAAUGUUUCAAGCAGCCAAAACUGCUAGAUAUAGAAUGUGUUCAUUGCACUUUAGUGAUGAUUCUUUUAUCAUGCACGGAUCCCAAAGAGUACUCAAUCCUAAAGCUGUACCUACCAUUUUUGAAAAUCAACCGACUACUGUUUCACUGCAAUGGAAGCUGUACCUUUCCAAAGCCAGAAAAGAAGAAGAGUAGAUGAUGAAGUACCUUCAACCUCUCACUCAUAUCAGAAAUAUGAUCACAAUUGCAACCCAAACCGAAUCCAAAUUUUUUGUUGAUGCAAAUACUACUACAAGCGAUACAUUUUUUGGAAUUGAUCAAUCAAGUGGUUCUGAUAAUCCAAUGAAAACUCUUGAAAUUGGUAUACAAACAGGGGAUGAUUCUCUGCCUGCAGAACCUUGGCGAAUACAUUCAGACCAUGCAUAUCCGGUUUCAUUUUCAACACCUAUAGAACUAGUCCAACAUGUUGUUACUACUGGACCGAUAUCAACUGAACAGAACCUUGGAGAUUCUACUGUUCAUGAAGAUCCCAAUGUGUGUGUAGAUCUUGAUAGCUCAAUUAGUAGUAUUAAAGCUAUCGACACCAGUUUCGAAGAAGAAAAGAACCUUCCUUUUAUGAACCAGAGGAAAGUGUUACCUUUACAGAGGAAGAAUCAACAUUUACUGAAAAUAAAGAAGAAAUACAUCAGCGACGUUUUAUAGUAUUUGAACAAUCCCUGGACCAACUAUUUUACUUAAUAAAAUGUCAACAUAACUGUGAUCCAAAGUGUCAAGCUCCCAUAAUUGAUGUUGAAAAAAAAAUAUAUGAAACCAUGGUUGAGGCACAGUUAACCUGUCUGUCUGGACAUACCUCUUUCGUGUGGAAUUCACAACCUAUGGCUGGUCAGAUAUCAAUUGGGAAUGUAUCAUUAGCAUGUGCGAUUUUACUCAGCGGUUCAUCAUUUACCAAAGUAAAAGAAAUGUUUCAGUUGAUCGCCAUUCCAUUUUAUUCUCAUACUACUUACUACACCUAUCAAAAACGAUACGUUUUCCCUGCAAUCGACUUGUGUUGGAUCAACGAACAGGAAUCUUUGAAAGAAGACAUCAUGGAUAAAGCUGUAGUAUUGGCCGGUGAUGGCCAAUUUGACAGUCCGGGACAUUGUGCAAAAUACUGCACAUAUUCCAUGAUGGACAUCAUCACCAAGAAAAUUGUUGAUUUCAAUAUACAAUAAGUUGGACCAGGUAAGAAAGCUGGUGAAAUGGAAAAAAUAGCAUUUGAAGAAAGUCUUCAGAAACUGACAAAUAAAGGGGUAAACAUUAAAAUAUUGGCAACAGACCGUCAUUCAAGUAUUAGAAAAUUCAUGCAGACGAAAUCAGAAACCAUUAAUCAUCAAUUUGAUGUAUGGCACAUCUGUAAGAGUCUGGUAAAGAAACUCACUGCUGCGAGCAAAACAAUAAAUUUUAAAGGAUUGAAUCCAUAACAAAUCACUUGUGGUGGUGUUCACAAACAUGUGAUCAGAAUGUUGAAAAUUUGUUAGAUAAGUGGAGAUCAUUGUUAUUUCACAUUGCAAAUAAACACACAUUCAAACAACUAAAAACCUACAAAAAAUGCCAGCACAAAAGGUUAACUGCCGCUCAAAAAAAGAUAAAAAGUGGAUAACUCCAUCUCAUCCAGUUUACAGCACUUUAGUUGGUAUCCUGAAAAACUAAUUUUUAAUCAAAGACAUUUUACAAAUUGAGAAAUUCUCACACUGGAGACCUUGAAAACUUCCACAGUAAGGUGCUAAAGUACCGGCCAAAAAGGAUUGCAUUUAAAAUGGACUCAAUGCACGCGUGAACCAUGCUGUCAGUGCUCUCUCAUAACAAGAAUGUGAAUCGCAAACAGGCUACCAUUCAUUGUUCCAAAAAAUCUGCUCUAAAUGUUGGGGAAAAGAGGUACAAAAUAGUUUUCCGAAGCAAAAGAAGGAAUGGGUAGCAAAACCGAUUUUUGAGGAAGUCACUGAUUCACAUUUGUGCGACUUAAUUUCCGAUGCAGGCAAAAUAUUAAAAGGCGAGAUUGUUCACCGUUGGGAGUCUCGAAGCAAGGGAUUACCCAAAAACAUUGCUUCAAAAAUAAGGCCUGAGAAAUCUGUUGCAAUAGCACAGCGUCAAUCAAGAUUUGGAAUAUAAGAUUUGGCUUCAAUAACAACUAUAUGUAAAAAGAAAAUAUAUUUUGAACAAAAAAACUUAUAAUUAUCUUUCAUGUUUGUUUUUAUAACAAAUAUUCUAUCUUAAUUCGUGAAAUUUGUUACCACAACAAAUAAUCCUUUAUUGUUUAUGUAUUUAUGCAUAUAAGUUUUGCAUUGCUACACUUUUCCCCAUAUGUAAUAAAAGGCACUAAGUUUAACCAGUAGCAGUAACCCAUAUCACCUAUAAGAUGUUUGCUUUGAAACUGGUACUGUUAAGUUCAACCUACUGAUUGCCUGCUAUGGGAUUCUGCUCCUGGGCAAACUUAGUUCUUUUAUUACUUUACACCCUAAAAGUGUAAAAAAAAAUUCUAGAUAUAAU